AAUCCAUGUUGUGGACACUUCCGCAAGAGCUCCUUGAAUCGUUCCCAAGUCUUAAAUAAAGAUUCGAGCAACAUCUGAACAAAUGAUGAUAUCUUAUUACAAAGCUU